AUUGAACGCUGGCGGCAUGCCUUACACAUGCAAGUCGAACGGCAGCACGGGUGCUUGCACCUGGUGGCGAGUGGCGAACGGGUGAGUAAUAUAUCGGAACGUAUCCAAUAAUGGGGGAUAACUAGCCGAAAGGUUAGCUAAUACCGCAUACGCCCUGAGGGGGAAAGCUGGGGAUCGUAAGACCUAGCGUUGAUGGAGCGGCCGAUAUCUGAUUAGCUAGUUGGUGGGGUAAGAGCCUACCAAGGCGACGAUCAGUAGCUGGUCUGAGAGGACGAACAGCCACACUGGAACUGAGACACGGUCCAGACUACUACGGGAGGCAGCAGUGGGGAAUUUUGGACAAUGGGGGCAACCCUGAUCCAGCCAUUCCGCGUGAGUGAAGAAGGCCUUCGGGUUGUAAAGCUCUUUCACAAGGGAAGAAAACUCGAUCUCUAAUAUAGGUUGAGGCUGACGGUACCUUGAUAAGAAGCACCGGCUAACUACGUGCCAGCAGCCGCAGUAA
rnacentral:rRNA from 1 species